rnacentral:rRNA from 1 species
GAUGAACGCUAGCUACAGGCUUAACACAUGCAAGUCGAGGGGAAACGACAUCGAAAGCUUGCUUUUGAUGGGCGUCGACCGGCGCACGGGUGAGUAACGCGUAUCCAACCUGCCCAUCACUUGGGAAUAACCUUGCGAAAGUAAGACUAAUACCCAAUGAUAUCCCACGAAGGCAUCGGAAUGGGAUUAAAGAUUUAUCGGUGAUGGAUGGGGAUGCGUCUGAUUGGCUUGUUGGCGGGGUAACGGCCCACCAAGGCAACGAUCAGUAGGGGUUCUGAGAGGAAGGUCCCCCACAUUGGAACUGAGACACGGUCCAAACUCCUACGGGAGGCAGCAGUGAGGAAUAUUGGUCAAUGGGCGAGAGCCUGAACCAGCCAAGUAGCGUGCAGGAAGACGGCCCUAUGGGUUGUAAACUGCUUUUAUAAGGGAAUAAAGUGGGUCACGUGUGACUUUUUGCAUGUACCUUAUGAAUAAGGACCGGCUAAUUCCGUG